CAGCAGCCGCGGUAACACGUAGGUGGCAAGCGUUGUCCGGAAUUAUUGGGCGUAAAGGGCUCGCAGGCGGUUUCUUAAGUCUGAUGUGAAAGCCCCCGGCUCAACCGGGGAGGGUCAUUGGAAACUGGGAAACUUGAGUGCAGAAGAGGAGAGUGGAAUUCCACGUGUAGCGGUGAAAUGCGUAGAGAUGUGGAGGAACACCAGUGGCGAAGGCGACUCCCUGGUCUGUAACUGACGCUGAGGAGCGAAAGCGUGGGGAGCGAACAGGAUUAGAUACCCCUGUAGUCCCUGUCUCUUAUAC
rnacentral:rRNA from 1 species